GUCGACGAAGUUUCGAGGAAGCUUGCUUCCAAGAGACUUAGUGGCGAACGGGUGAGUAACACGUAGGUAACCUGCCCAUGUGUCCGGGAUAACUGCUGGAAACGGUAGCUAAAACCGGAUAGGUAUACAGAGCGCAUGCUCAGUAUAUUAAAGCGCCCAUCAAGGCGUGAACAUGGAUGGACCUGCGGCGCAUUAGCUAGUUGGUGAGGUAACGGCCCACCAAGGCGAUGAUGCGUAGCCGGCCUGAGAGGGUAAACGGCCACAUUGGGACUGAGACACGGCCCAAACUCCUACGGGAGGCAGCAGUAGGGAAUUUUCGUCAAUGGGGGAAACCCUGAACGAGCAAUGCCGCGUGAGUGAAGAAGGUCUUCGGAUCGUAAAGCUCUGUUGUAAGUGAAGAACGGCUCAUAGAGGAAAUGCUAUGGGAGUGACGGUAGCUUACCAGAAAGCCACGGCUAACUACGUGCCAGCAGCCGCGGUAAUACGUAGGUGGCAAGCGUUAUCCGGAAUCAUUGGGCGUAAAGGGUGCGUAGGUGGCGUACUAAGUCUGUAGUAAAAGGCAAUGGCUCAACCAUUGUAAGCUAUGGAAACUGGUAUGCUGGAGUGCAGAAGAGGGCGAUGGAAUUCCAUGUGUAGCGGUAAAAUGCGUAGAUAUAUGGAGGAACACCAGUGGCGAAGGCGGUCGCCUGGUCUGUAACUGACACUGAGGCACGAAAGCGUGGGGAGCAAAUAGGAUUAGAUACCCUAGUAGUCCACGCCGUANACGAUGAGAACUAAGUGUUGGAGGAAUUCAGUGCUGCAGUUAACGCAAUAAGUUCUCCGCCUGGGGAGUAUGCAC
rnacentral:rRNA from 1 species